rnacentral:rRNA from 12 species
CAGACAGGUUCUAAGAACCAUGAAAAGGUUUCUCCAGUCCCGUCAGAUCUUGGAAGUUAAGCAGGGCUGUGUCUGCUUAGUACUUGGGUGGGAGAGCACCUUGGAACACCAGGGGCCUGUUAGA